rnacentral:lncRNA from 1 species
AACAUUGCACUCUGUAAAGUAACACAGUGUGAUCUAGUAUUAUUUAUCAGAGAUAAUACUGUUCUGACUGUAUAUACAGUCUAGAACUCACAAAUCAAUUAAUUCCUCUCACAAAUCAUUCAUCUUAGACUUACAAAUAAGCAAUGAAAUAGUCAAUGGCCUGAUUAAGACAAAGAGCUACCAGGCUGGAUGGACACUUUUUAGUAUUUUAUCUUUUCUUUUUCUUGCUCAGGGCUGGUAGGUUGGAUCUGAACCAUUAAAAUCAUAUGGUCCACUAGGCGUAUGAUCUCUUUGAGCCAAAUCAGUUCCUGAAUAUAAAGGAGGAAAUGAUGAGGAUGGACUGAGGCAACUGAGAAGUAUAGAAACAUCCAAGUCAAAAGCCAAGGGAUGCAGAGACAGAGACACAGGUGAUUUUGGUGACCCAGUGGAUAUGGCAACCAAUGUAACUGCCAUACAAGAAACCCUAGGAGCAAACCCACACCACUCAUUCUCAGCUAAGAGAUUUUACACAGGCAAACAUGUCUUAAACCAUUUAUAAAUCAGUUAUUUGAUAUAAUAGUCAAAACCUUAGAAACCUUAGGAUCAUAGAUAUGUCUAUUUUCCGCCUUUUAAUUGCUGUGAGGUUUGAUUUGACCAAUCUGGGCAAUUUAUUCAUCAGCUUCCCUUGAAGUGCACCAGAAAAUAGAAGAAAGGUGUGUGGAGACUUAGGGUAUUUUAUUACAUGUUUUGAUAGUCUUAAAUAGUGAUUAAAUUUAUCUAGAAAGAAGUUAACAGCUCAUUAGAAAAGUUUUAACCUGUGAAAUAAGUAUUUUUCUCAACAUUCUUUAAAGUUUUUAUGUAAGUUAACACUAGGUAAACAUUCUACAUACUAAAAGUCAGUUUAUUACAAAUACAUAUCAAAAAUAAAGAUUAUACAAGGCACCAAACUACUAGAUUUGGCAUUAAAACAAAUGUUUAUUUCUAAUCACAACAAAAUUAUAAUGAAUAAAUGUUCUUGCUUUGUAUGGAAAUACAAUUCUUUAUUAAAGUUAACAGAAAGGAACUGAUCAUUUGUGCCAGUCAAAGAGAGAAACACACAGGUUAAAUGUCUUCUUGUGGGGUUAAGGGGUAGAACCUAUCUUGCCUUCACUCUCAAGAUAACGACUCAAAUUAAGCUUUUUGAGCACCACUCUUGUGGGGACACACAUACGCUGAUCUAGGAAUGAAAUCUUCGUGGUCUCAAUUCUAGAUCUACUUUGCCAGUUUCUCUCUGGCUUUAGCCUUUGAGAACCUGUAUAAGAAUACAUAAGUAAUCCAGAGCUAUGAAGAGUUAAAAGGCCUACUUCUCCAGUGAACUCACCCUCUGGGUCACUUGCAACCAAAAAUUGGAUACCUCAUAAUGAUGCAGGAAAGACCUGAGUUCUUGAUGAGUUCCAAAGGCCACGUUCAUUUAGGAACCAACUCUCUCUGGAUUCACCUGCUGAAUUCCAGCAGCGUGAUGGGCUGACAUCCCACCUACAAGCAUGACACCUGUGUAACACCAGCUAGGUAUGGCUGAGGAAGGCUGAAAGAAAGCCAUUAAAUGGAAGAAUGUACUGAUUGUAGUGACCUUCUCCACACACACACACACACACACACACACACACACACACCCCUAGAGUAAUACAGCAAACAUGGAAUAAUCAGCCAAUAUAUAACAUCAGUAUUUUAUUAAAUAAUCUGAAUGUGGUUGAUUUUGACAUCGCUGCAAUUACAAUUUUCUUCUAUUUUUCAAGUCACAAUAAGGAAAAUAAACUACUCAUGGUCUAAAUACCAGAGAUAAAGUAGACUCAUGGCUUGGUAAGGAAAUUUUAAGCAUUUCUUCAAAGAUUGACGUGCUAAAAUAAGUAUUGAUGUUUUGGGUUUUUUUACACCUAGGAUUUUAGCUUGGGUGUGUAGGUGAAGGCCAAGACCCUCUGCAGGAAAAAGCUUAUUUUCAAACUCAGAAAAUAAAAUGUCAAUCAUAAAAAUCUACUUCAACUUUAGCAAAAAGAAAAAAAAUCAACAAAAAGUAUACUCUGUAUGCUGGGAUUCCGAGGUUCCAACACACCGUUACAAAUCUGUGGGGGGUUUCUUUCUUCUGAUAAUUCUAGAGCCUGUUACCAUAGAAAGGCAUUUCUUCAAUGGCUGGUUGUAGUUAGUUCAUGUUUUUCAAUCAAAUUUGCAAAUGUAUUUGUUGCUGUAUAGUGAUUGUUUUGCAAAAUAAAAUUGCUUGUCACCUAACUGCUA